ACGAACGCUGGCGGCAUGCCUAACACAUGCAAGUCGAACGAGACCUUCGGGUCUAGUGGCGCACGGGUGCGUAACGCGUGGGAACCUGCCCUUAGGUUCGGAAUAACUCCCCGAAAGGGGUGCUAAUACCGGAUAAUGUCUUCGGACCAAAGCUUUAUCGCCUUUGGAUGGGCCCGCGUUGGAUUAGCUAGUUGGUAGGGUAAAAGCCUACCAAGGCGACGAUCCAUAGCUGGUCUGAGAGGAUGAUCAGCCACACUGGGACUGAGACACGGCCCAGACUCCUACGGGAGGCAGCAGUGGGGAAUAUUGGACAAUGGGCGAAAGCCUGAUCCAGCAAUGCCGCGUGAGUGAUGAAGGCCUUAGGGUUGUAAAGCUCUUUUACCCGGGAUGAUAAUGACAGUACCGGGAGAAUAAGCACCGGCUAACUCCGUG
rnacentral:rRNA from 1 species